rnacentral:tRNA from 2 species
GGUGCACGAGUAGACGGUACUACACGAUAGUUGCAACCUAUUAGUUUAACGGGUUCAAUUCCUGGUGUACCU